GCCCAGGUGGCGGAAUUGGUAGACGCGCUGGUCUCAAACACCAGUGGUAGCGAUACCGUGCCGGUUCGAUCCCGGCUCUGGGUA
rnacentral:tRNA from 1 species